rnacentral:rRNA from 1 species
AUGAAGCUCCUAUGCUGGAACAUUAGGGGCUUCAGCAACCUAGGCCGCCGACGCCAACUAAUUGACUACAUCCGGCAGGAAGAUAUUGACAUAGUGGGUCUUCAGGAGACAAUUCGUCAAGAUUUCUCCAUCCAUGAGCUACAUGGGCUUUCUCGUCAC